rnacentral:rRNA from 1 species
UAGAGUUUGAUCCUGGCUCAGAUUGAACGCUGGCGGCAGGCCUAACACAUGCAAGUCGAGCGGUAGCAGGAAGUGCUUGCACUUCGCUGACGAGCGGCGGACGGGUGCGUAACACGUAGGAAUCUGCCCGGUAGUGGGGGAUAGCCCGGAGAAAUUCGGAUUAAUACCGCAUACGCCCUAAGGGGGAAAGCAGGGGAUCGGUUCGCCGACCUUGCGCUAUCGGAUGAGCCUGCGUCGGAUUAGCUUGUUGGUGGGGUAAAGGCCUACCAAGGCAACGAUCCGUAGCUGGUCUGAGAGGAUGAUCAGCCACACUGGGACUGAGACACGGCCCAGACUCCUACGGGAGGCAGCAGUGGGGAAUAUUGCACAAUGGGCGAAAGCCUGAUGCAGCCAUGCCGCGUGUGUGAAGAAGGCCCUAGGGUUGUAAAGCACUUUCAGUGGGGAGGAAAGGUUUGCGGUUAAUACCCGCAAGCUGUGACGUUACCCACAGAAGAAGCACCGGCUAACUCCGUGCCAGCAGCCGCGGUAAUACGGAGGGUGCGAGCGUUAAUCGGAAUUACUGGGCGUAAAGCGUGCGUAGGCGGCUUUUUAAGUUGGAUGUGAAAGCCCCGGGCUCAACCUGGGAACUGCAUCCAAAACUGGAAGGCUUGAGUGCGAGAGAGGAGUGUGGAAUUUCCUGUGUAGCGGUGAAUGCGUAGAUAUAGGAAGGAACACCAGUGGCGAAGGCGACACUCUGGCCUUGACACUGACGCUGAGGUACGAAAGCGUGGGGAAGCA